rnacentral:rRNA from 1 species
CCUANGGGGGGCAGCAGCAAGGAAUUUUCCGCAAUGGACGAAAGUCUGACGGAGCAACGCCGCGUGAGUGAUGAAGCCUUUCGGGGUGUAAAACUCUUUUCUGAGGGAAGAAGAUCUGACGGUACCUCAGGAAUAAGCAUCGGCUAACUACGUGCCAGCAGCCGCGGUAAUACGUAGGAUGCAAGCGUUGUCCGGAAUUACUGGGCGUAAAGAGCGCGCAGGCGGCAUUUUAAGUAGGGCGUGAAAUCUCUCGGCUUAACUGAGAGGGGUCGUUCUAAACUGGAAGGCUAACGAGGGCAGGAGAGGAAAGUGGAAUUCCCGGUGUAGUGGUGAAAUGCGUAGAUAUCGGGAGGAACACCUGUGGCGAAGGCGACUUUCUGGCCUGUUCCUGACGCUGAGGCGCGAAGGCUAGGGGAGCGAACGGGAUUAGAUACCCUGNUANUC